UUGUCCUACGGGACGCAGCAGUGGGGAAUAUUGCACAAUGGGGGAAACCCUGAUGCAGCGACGCCGCGUGAGUGAAGAAGUAAUUCGUUAUGUAAAGCUCUCUGCCCAGGGAAGCCAAUCACGGUACCUGAGUAAGAAGCCCCCGCUAACUACGUGCCAGCAGCCGCGGUAAUACGCAGGGGGCAAGCGUUAUCCGGAUUUACUGGGUGUAAAGCCCGCGUAGACGGCAGUGCAAGCAU
rnacentral:rRNA from 1 species